CAGUUUAUUACUGGCUAUAGCCCAGGCAUGUAUAUUAUAUUAUCUCAUUAUGAUAGCCCUCUGUACACUAGCCUUUAGCCACCUUUCCAAUAACAGAGCCUGAUACAUUAUGCUAAGCUAAUUGCUAAUGCUGAUUUACAGGAUUGUGCUAAUCCUGGUGCUAAUGCUAACGGUAAUGGUAAUAUCUAAGGUUAAGGCUAACUGCUAACAGUAAUGGUAAUAUCUAAGGCUAACUGCUAACGGUAAUGGUAAUAUCUAAGGUUAAGGCUAAUUGCUAACAGUAAUGGUAAUAUCUAAGUUUAAGGCUAAUUGCUAAGUAUCAGCUCGGGGAACAGACCUGUCACAUCAUCCUGUCUCACCAGUGUGUUUUAUCUAUCGUUGGUAGAAAUGCAGUGAACCUGGCCGUGUUAAAACUGAAUGAGCAGGGCCUGUUGGACAAACUGAAAAAUAAAUGGUGGUACGACAAGGGAGAGUGUGGCAGCGGAGGAGGAGAAAGCAAGAGUGCCAGUAAACCUAGCGGUGUUGAAACUCAGUGAACAAGGAGUCUUAGACAAGCUAAAGAACAAGUGGUGGUACGAUAAAGGGGAGUGUGGAACCAAGGACUCAGGAAGUAAGGAGAAGACCAGUGCUCUGAGUCUCAGCAACGUAGCAGGUGUGUUCUAUAUCCUGGUUGGAGGGCUGGUCUGGCCAUGCUGGUGGCCCUGGUGGAGUUCUGCUACAAGUCCCGGGCCGAGGCCAAGAGAAUGAAGGUGGCUCAGAACACACUGCACCUGGCUCAGAGCGCCCACAACCAGAACACCUCCCCCUCCUCCUCCUCCUCUCACAACUCACACAACUUUGCUACUUAUAAGGAAGGCUACAACGUGUAGGAAUGGAAAGUGUUAAAAUCUAGGAGGGGUAGGAAAGAGGUUCUCACAAACAGCCACCCUGUCAGUCAAAUCAGUCAGUCAGUCAGUCACACCUUGCCUGUCCAUGCUCC